rnacentral:rRNA from 1 species
UACACUCCUACGGGAGGCAGCAGUGGGGAAUAUUGGACAAUGGGCGCAAGCCUGAUCCAGCCAUGCCGCGUGAGUGAUGAAGGCCCUAGGGUUGUAAAGCUCUUUCACCGGUGAAGAUAAUGACGGUAACCGGAGAAGAAGCCCCGGCUAACUUCGUGCCAGCAGCCGCGGUAAUACGAAGGGGGCUAGCGUUGUUCGGAUUUACUGGGCGUAAAGCGCACGUAGGCGGACUAUUAAGUCAGGGGUGAAAUCCCGGGGCUCAACCCCGGAACUGCCUUUGAUACUGGUAGUCUUGAGUUCGAGAGAGGUGAGUGGAAUUCCGAGUGUAGAGGUGUAAUUCGUAGAUAUUCGGAGGAACACCAGUGGCGAAGGCGGCUCACUGGCUCGAUACUGACGCUGAGGUGCGAAAGCGUGGGGAGCAAACAGGAUUAGAUACCCCAGUAGUCCCAUG